GGGAUUAGCUAGUAGGCGGGGUAAUGGCCCACCUAGGCGACGAUCCCUAGCUGGUCUGAGAGGAUGACCAGCCACACUGGAACUGAGACACGGUCCAGACUCCUACGGGAGGCAGCAGUGGGGAAUAUUGCACAAUGGGCGCAAGCCUGAUGCAGCCAUGCCGCGUGUAUGAAGAAGGCCUUCGGGUUGUAAAGUACUUUCAGCGGGGAGGAAGGCGAUGUGGUUAAUAACCUCAUCGAUUGACGUUACCCGCAGAAGAAGCACCGGCUAACUCCGUGCCAGCAGCCGCGGUAAUACGGAGGGUGCAAGCGUUAAUCGGAAUUACUGGGCGUAAAGCGCACGCAGGCGGUCUGUUAAGUCAGAUGUGAAAUCCCCGGGCUUAACCUGGGAACUGCAUUUGAAACUGGCAGGCUUGAGUCUUGUAGAGGGGGGUA
rnacentral:rRNA from 1 species